rnacentral:rRNA from 1 species
GAUGAACGCUAGCGGCAGGCCUAAUACAUGCAAGUCGGACGGGAUCCAUCGGUAGCUUGCUACCGAUGGUGAGAGUGGCGCACGGGUGCGUAACGCGUGAGCAACCUGCCCAUAUCAGGGGGAUAGCCCGGAAAAAUCCGGAUUAACACCGCAUGACCCUGCUUUCCGGCAUCGGGAGGCGGUCAAAUAUUCAUAGGAUAUGGAUGGGCUCGCGCGACAUUAGCUAGUUGGUGGGGUAACGGCCCACCAAGGCGACGAUGUCUAGGGGCUCUGAGAGGAGAAUCCCCCACACUGGUACUGAGACACGGACCAGACUCCUACGGGAGGCAGCAGUAAGGAAUAUUGGUCAAUGGGGGCAACCCUGAACCAGCCAUGCCGCGUGCAGGACGACUGCCCUAUGGGUUGUAAACUGCUUUUGUUAGGGAAUAAACCCCGCUACGUGUAGCGGGCUGAAUGUACCUAAAGAAUAAGGAUCGGCUAACUCCGUGCCAGCAGCCGCAGUAA